CGCCCGGGCUCCGGGGUCUCCCCGCGGGCAGCUGGGCGGGUCCCCAGGAGGGACGGUGGGGUGGCGCGGGUACCCUCCCGCAUGGCCUCUCCCCUGCACCCCGCUCUCCCGACUCCAGAUCCAGGUUGGGUCGUGGCCGCACGUUUCGGGGAUCUCCGGCCAAGAACGGAGUGGAUGUCCUGUGAAGGCAAGGAGAGGGUUUACUGUGGGCACCACUGUUCACCCCUCUCGCCCGACGGCUGGCGGAGAGAAAACGCUCAGGAAACAUUAAUUACAUGGACGAGUUGAAGACAGAACGAGUGAGUUGAUGUGUGCGCCAGGACACAAGGCCGUUUCUCCGGCUCAGGCCGUCAGUCCUGCCGGAGGACAGGCUUUGAGGAAGACGCCGGGAAUCCCAUAGCCAACGCCGGCGUCACAGAGUGGGGUCCACGUGUCCCCCGGCUGGGAACGGUGGUGGCCCCCCAUCUCACUUGCUCUGGGUAACAGUGGGCCUCCCCGUCUGGGACCGCGGCUGUGUGCGGGGCUCUGGGUCUGGAAGAGGAGAACUCAGGGGGCGGAGGGCUGAACCAAGCCAGACUGGUCAGCAAGGCGGCCUUGACCUCUCCCUUCUCCCCGCUGGGGCUGCGGGGAUGACUGGGGCCACGGCGGCCGCCUCGCAGCCACGAGAGUGACUGUCGCAGCUGAAGAUGGUGGACAGCGAGGCGAGGAUCCAGAUGCUUCCUGGCCUCGGCGAAGAGCUGCGCGGCCCGCCUUUGUCUGGGCUCCCGACGGCGAGAACCAGGACCCGCUUUACCGCUGUCGUCGGACACUGUCACCGCAGCCUGACGCAGGGAUGAGGAAUCCGCUUCGGAAAUCAAACACCAAAGAGCUUACGUUGUUCUUACCUGCUUUCUCAGGAAGGACAAAGAGUUGAUGGCCGGUGACACGGUUAUGCCUGGAUCCUGCUUAUUUCCCAGAGAAAAAUAUCAAAGUCUGAUUAGACGUGGGAUUGAUUUUUGAGGAGAUAUCCAUUCAACCAACACAUCUGAAAUGUGAAAAAAAAAAUAAAUAAAAGCUUGUAAUCUUGGAAAAAACAGCGUAAGUGACACUUUGAGACUGUUCCGGGGAACACGCACCAGGUCCAUUAGGGGAAGGGGCCCAUCAGCCAACAGCUUUUGGACGCAAACUAUCUUUUCCCAGAACCCUUUGCAGCCUCAGGACCCUUCUCAAGAGUCUUGUAAAUGAGGUCGCUGGAACCGGCUGGGGGGCGCUCAGGGACCCGCGAAAUGCUGAGCAAGCCUACGGGAGACGAAAAUUGAAAGAAAUAAAACAGCAGCCACCCACAGA